rnacentral:rRNA from 2 species
GACGAACGCUGGCGGCGCGCCUAACACAUGCAAGUCGAACGGGCGCUUUGCGCAGGAUUAAGGAUUGAGGAAUGAGGAUUUAGGAAAUAAGGCAGGAUAAUAUCGCCUUUAAGUAAGCUUUUUAGCUUUACAACCUUAAUCCUAAAACCUAAAACCUUAAUCCUGUGCGAAGCACUAGUGGCGGACGGGUGAGUAACACGUGAGCAACCUGCCUUUAAGAGGGGGACAACAGUCGGAAACGGCUGCUAAUACCGCAUAAAGUGAUUAUCCGGCAUCGGGUGAUUACCAAAGGAGUUAAAUCCGCUUAAAGAUGGGCUCGCGCCUGAUUAGAUAGUUGGUGAGGUAACGGCUCACCAAGUCGACGAUCAGUAGCCGGACUGAGAGGUUGAACGGCCACAUUGGGACUGAGACACGGCCCAGACUCCUACGGGAGGCAGCAGUGGGGGAUAUUGGUCAAUGGGGGGAACCCUGAACCAGCGACGCCGCGUGAGGGAAGAAGGUUUUCGGAUUGUAAACCUCUGUCAGCGGGGAAGAAAAUGACGGUACCCGCGGAGGAAGCCACGGCUAACUACGUGCCAGCAGCCGCGGUAAUACGUAGGUGGCAAGCGUUGUCCGGAAUUACUGGGUGUAAAGGGAGUGUAGGCGGGACUAAUAAUCAGAUGUGAAAGGUACAGGCUUAACUUGUAAACUGCAUUUGAAACUUUAGUUCUUGAGUGAAGUAGAGGCAAGCGGAAUUCCCGGUGUAGCGGUGAAAUGCGUAGAUAUUGGGAGGAACACCAGUGGCGAAGGCGGCUUGCUGGGCUUUUACUGACGCUGAGGCUCGAAAGCGUGGGGAGCAAACAGGAUUAGAUACCCUGGUAGUCCACGCCGUAAACGAUGAUUACUAGGUGUGGGGGGAUAGACCCCUUCCGUGCCGGAGUUAACACAAUAAGUAAUCCACCUGGGGAGUACGACCGCAAGGUUGAAACUCAAAGGAAUUGACGGGGGCCCGCACAAGCAGUGGAGUAUGUGGUUUAAUUCGACGCAACGCGAAGAACCUUACCAGGUCUUGACAUCCAACUAACGAGGCAGAGAUGCGUUAGGUGCCCUUUUGGGAAAGUUGAGACAGGUGGUGCAUGGUUGUCGUCAGCUCGUGUCGUGAGAUGUUGGGUUAAGUCCCGCAACGAGCGCAACCCUUAUGAUUAGUUGCUACAUUUAGUUGAGCACUCUAAACAGACUGCCGUUGACAAAACGGAGGAAGGUGGGGAUGACGUCAAAUCAUCAUGCCCUUUAUGACCUGGGCUACACACGUACUACAAUGGCGCAGUACAGCGAGGAGCGAACACGCGAGUGGGAGCAAAUCUCCAAAAGGCGCCUCAGUUCGGAUUGCAGGCUGAAACUCGCCUGCAUGAAGUCGGAAUUGCUAGUAAUCGCGAAUCAGCAUGUCGCGGUGAAUACGUUCCCGGGC